rfam:Parcubacteria bacterium GW2011_GWA2_46_9 TX68_C0032, whole genome shotgun sequence.
GCGGGAUUAGUAUAGUGGCAUUACAUCAGCUUCCCAAGCUGAGAGCACCGGUUCGAUCCCGGUAUCCCGCU